AAGCUGCAUUCCCAAAUCUUUCUCUGGGAAAGGACACAGAUGUCUAAAAAACAUCUGAUUCACAGCUGCUUGCUCCUUUUUGGAACUGAAUCGCUGGCCAUGAAGGAAGCAUAGAAACGUUUUACCAUAACAAGGACAACAGCAGCAGCUCCUAUUUGCAUUCUCACAAAGUGAAAGCAAUGAAGCACCCAGCUUCUCAUUAACAAAGUGUCUAAUUCACUUGACCAGAAACAGCAAGAGCUAUCUUUAAGAGCCAGAGUGUCUGAUUGCCAAGGAUUUGUGAGGAAUGGCAAAACCCCCAGUGUCCUAACACAAAGACAGCUUACUGAUUUACUGCAACCCUCUGAAGAAGAGCUGCUCCACUUUUCCCAUCUUGGAACAGUCAAGGUGGCAGUGUUCUCCUACUUUCGUACCUCGAUGGCAGAUUUCACAGCAGAAA